rnacentral:lncRNA from 1 species
GCUGCCUCUGCUGAGUCAUGCAGGUUGUCAGGGAAGUGGGGGAAAGCGAGCAGUCGCAGGCUUCACCCAACUCCCACACAAUCUGAAGGGCUGGUCUCACUCCCAUUGUGCCACCCCCAACAGCACUGUCUAUUUCCAGGCAGUGGGUGAGCAGGGCUUAAGAACUUGUCCCAGGCUGCCCGCCUCCCAGCCGUGAGAUAAAAGGGCUCUGGUUCUUCCCCCACCUGUGGAGUCUGCAUGCUAGAUUUACACCCUCCCCUGAGUUCUGGCCAGGAGGCCUCUCACCUGGUUCAAAUUGUUACAACGUUCAGCUGGAGACCUCCUACUCCCUGUGGUUAUCUCCCCGCACCUCUGGCCACCCUCCCGAAAGGAUCCCUGUGGUGCCAGGCAGGAAUGGCCUGCCUGGGGACCCAGCAAGCUCCCAGGGCCCUUCCCACUGCCUCCUCCACCCCUGCAUUUCACUCAGCUCUCUAAGUUGACUCAGCUCCAGGUAAGGAUACAGUGAGAAGACAGCCGUCUGCAAUCAGGAAGGGGACUCUCACCAGACAACAAGUCUUCCAGCACCUUUAUCUUGGACUUCCAGCCUCCAGAAUUAUGACAAGUUGUGCCUCUUUGAGACAGGCUGUCCCAGUCACACUGGGGGAAACUGAGGCAGAUCAGUGGAUGGAGGAUGAAUAAACUGCAGGCCAGGGAGUGCUUUCUUUCUGAAAGAGUCUUUAAUUAUACAAUUGAUGUGUUGGUGGUAGAUGGCCUAAUAGGAACAGCUCUGGUCUGCAGCUUCCAGCGUGAUCGACACAGAAGAUGGGUGAUUUCAACAUUUCCAACUGAGGUAUUCACCUUCAGUUUUCCAAGACGAUGGAAAGCACCACUGGUGCAUGUAGUUAACAGCAGCUUGACUCAGACACAGAACUGCAGCCAGGGCCCAUCUGUUCCCAUCACUCCUACUGCCAGUUUUACAACCAGAACUAGAGUGAUUUAUCCAUCUCAGUUUGCUCAGGACUCAGCAGAAGAGGAUCCUGGGACACAAGACUUUCAGUGCUCAAACUUGGAGAGUUCAAGACUUUCAGUGCUCAAACUUGGAGAGUCCUUGGCAAUCACAGUUUGACUAUGACUGAGAAGAUUCCCAGAAAGAAGGACUUUUAAUUCUAAAACUGAGAAAGUCCCAGGGCAUGAGUUGUUCACCUUAUUUGCAACCAACUUCUAAUUCAUCAUGAGGGCUUUGCAUAAACUUAUGCUUUAGGACUAGUAGAGUCAGUCAUUGCUUCAAAUUAAGUAGUGUGGCAAAAGUCUGUUAUUUUUCAGGAAAAAUUAAUGUCUGAUUGUGUUAAUCCUGGUUGCAAUAACUUAUCUCAUUUCCCCACUUUCCUGUGGAAAAAUUCCCAAUUUCUCAACCUGGCAUAUUAAGCAGCUGAAAAGUGGCCUAUGCCUUCAUCCCUGUCACUAUCUCCCUCCACUUGCCACCAUGCCCCAGUCUCUCUGAACUUUGUCAUUCUCCUUCAAGACUGGUGAUAUGGCUUGGCUGUGUCCCCACCCAAAUCUCAUCUUGAAUUGUAGCUCCCCUAAUCCACAAGUGUUGUGAGAGGGAUCCAGUGGGAGGUAAUUGAAUCAUGGGGAUGGGAUUUUCCUGUGCUGUUCUCGUGAUAGUGAAUAAGUCUCAUGAGAUCUGAUAGUUUUAUAAAGGGCAGUUCCCCUGCAUACACUGUCUUGCCUGCCACCAUGUAAGAUGUGCCUUUGCUCCUCCUUUGUCUUCUGCCAUGAUUGUGAGGCCUCCCCAGCCAUGUGGAACUGUGAGUCAUUAAACUUCCUUUCCUUUAUAAAUUACCCAGUCUUGGGUAUUUCUUCAUAGCUGUACAAAAACUGGAGACCUGAGAAAAUAGACAUUUUUUCAUCCCAGAUUCUUUCUUUCCCUGUCUCCCUUACUGCUUCCAUCCAUUCAGCAUAGUCAUGUAAGAAAACUCAAGCAUCACUGACUCUGAAUAACUGUUUUCAUCUUCCUCAAGAAGUUAUCUCCCUAUCCUUUAAGCUCAACUAAUGCUUUGUUUAUAUCUUUAAAAUAGAAUUGAUUACGUACUAUAUCAAAUACAUAUGCUUUAUACCUGUCUCCUUUACUAGACUAUUUCUCUAUUUAGUAGACUUACUUCUCAACAGUGAUAACUUAUUUUUCUUUUUAUCUCUAGUGCUUAAUCUCUUGCCUGGUGUACAAUAAAAUUUGUUGUAUGAACAUCUGAGUGGAUACAUUUUUAUACAUUUUAAACAGAUGGGAAAACUGAAGCUUAGAGUGGUUAAAUGAUUUCACCAAGAUCAAUAGCUAGGAAAUGACUGAAACGGGGCUUGAACCAAAGUCUUCCAAAUCUGACACCCAUGCAUUCAUCACCCCCUCAUUUGUAUACAUGGGUUACCAAUAACACAC